rnacentral:rRNA from 1 species
UACGUAGGGUGCAAGCGUUGUCCGGAAUUAUUGGGCGUAAAGAGCUCGUAGGCGGUCUGUCGCGUCUGCUGUGAAAACUCAGGGCUUAACCCUGAGCUUGCAGUGGGUACGGGCAGACUAGAGUGAUGUAGGGGAGACUGGAAUUCCUGGUGUAGCGGUGAAAUGCGCAGAUAUCAGGAGGAACACCGAUGGCGAAGGCAGGUCUCUGGGUAUUAACUGACGCUGAGGAGCGAAAGCAUGGGGGAGCGAACAGG